rnacentral:rRNA from 1 species
UACGUAGGGUGCAAGCGUUGUCCGGAAUUAUUGGGCGUAAAGAGCUCGUAGGCGGUCUGUCGCGUCUGCUGUGAAAACCUAGGGCUUAACUCUGGGCGUGCAGUGGGUACGGGCAGGCUAGAGUGCGGUAGGGGGAGACUGGAAUUCCUGGUGGAGCGGUAAAAUGCGUGGAUCUCAGGAGGAACACCAAUGGCGAAGGCAGCUUCUUGGCUCAUUCCUGACGUUGAGGCACGAAAGCGUGGGGAGCAAACAGG